GUUUGGUCCUAGCCUUUCUAUCAAGUGCCACUCUACUUACACAUGCAAGCCUCCACACCCCGGUGAGAACGCCCUUUUAUUCUUAUGAACCUAGGAGCUGGUAUCAGGCACAAAAAUUAGCCCAAAACACCUAGCCUCGCCACACCCACAACGGGAAUUCAGCAGUGAUCAACAUUAAAAAUUAGCGCCAGCUAGACUUAGUUAGAGUACCCAGGGCCGGCAAACCUGGUGCCAGCCGCCGCGGCUACACCACGGGGCCCAACUUGAUAGGCACCGGCGUAAAGCGUGAUUAAAGCAUCCCCACCCCCGAGUUAAAUUGUAAUUGAGCUGUGACAAGCCUGUUACCUAGAAACCCCAAAACGAAAGUUACUCCACCCACUCAACUUGAAUUCACGACAGCUGGGACACAAACUGGGAUUAGAUACCCCACUAUGCCCAGCCGUAAACCUUUUACUUACAAUUAAUACC
rnacentral:rRNA from 1 species